rnacentral:rRNA from 1 species
AACGAACGCUGGCGGCAGGCUUAACACAUGCAAGUCGAGCGCCCCGCAAGGGGAGCGGCAGACGGGUGAGUAACGCGUGGGAAUCUACCCAUCUCUACGGAAUAACGCAUGGAAACGUGUGCUAAUACCGUAUACGUCCUUCGGGAGAAAGAUUUAUCGGAGAUGGAUGAGCCCACGUUGGAUUAGCUAGUUGGUGGGGUAAAGGCCUACCAAGGCGACGAUCCAUAGCUGGUCUGAGAGGAUGAUCAGCCACACUGGGACUGAGACACGGCCCAGACUCCUACGGGAGGCAGCAGGGGGGAAUAUUGGACAAUGGGCGCAAGCCUGAUCCAGCCAUGCCGCGUGAGUGAUGAAGGCCCUAGGGUUGUAAAGCUCUUUCACCGGUGAAGAUAAUGACGGUAACCGGAGAAGAAGCCCCGGCUAACUUCGUGCCAGCCGCCGCGGUAAUAC